rnacentral:lncRNA from 1 species
UGUGUAACUGAAAUAGAAUUUUCAUUUUGAAUGCAUCUGUCCAAAUUCAAGCUCACCUAUCAGUUGAGGAAGAUGGCAGCAUGAAUCAAAGACAUGGACUAAUAACUUGUAAUGAGAGACGGAUAAAUGUGGAACCCCCAGGCAUGUCUCUGCUCAGCGUUCCCAUCAGGUGCAGUGGCCUGUUAUGGAUAAAGGAGGAAGUGACUCACGAAGAGCAGGUUUGCUCUAAGAACAGAAGGAGCAAGUGUUGCAAGAAGAGGAGGGAUUUUGGAGCCGACGCUUUGAUGAUAAAAUUGGAUUGAAAGAGAGGCCACUGAUGGUUGAAGGUAAGAGUGACUAUUUAUAACCAAAACCUCUGGAUCUGUGAAUUGGGAUGGUGUCUUUUCAUAGAGACAGUUG